CGAAGAACCUUACCAAGGCUUGACAUCGCCCGGAAACACUCAGAGAUGGGUGCCUCUUCGGAUCGGGUGACAGGUGGUGCAUGGCUGUCGUCAGCUCGUGUCGUGAGAUGUUGGGUUAAGUCCCGCAACGAGCGCAACCCUUGUUCAAUGUUGCCAGCACGCUCCUUCGGGGGUGGUGGGGACUCAUUGGAGACUGCCGGGGUCAACUCGGAGGAAGGUGGGGAUGACGUCAAGUCAUCAUGCCCCUUAUGUCUUGGGCUGCAAACAUGCUACAAUGGCCGGUACAGAGGGUUGCGAUACCGUGAGGUGGAGCGAAUCCCUAAAAGCCGGUCUCAGUUCGGAUUGGGGUCUGCAACUCGACCCCAUGAAGUCGGAGUCGCUAGUAAUCGCAGAUCAGCAACGCUGCGGUGAAUACGUUCCCGGGUCUUGUACACACCGA
rnacentral:rRNA from 1 species